rnacentral:rRNA from 1 species
GACGAACGCUGGCGGCGUGCCUAAUACAUGCAAGUUGAGCGCUGAAGGUUGGUACUUGUACCAACUGGAUGAGCAGCGAACGGGUGAGUAACGCGUGGGGAAUCUGCCUUUGAGCGGGGGACAACAUUUGGAAACGAAUGCUAAUACCGCAUAAAAACUUUAAACACAAGUUUUAAGUUUGAAAGAUGCAAUUGCAUCACUCAAAGAUGAUCCCGCGUUGUAUUAGCUAGUUGGUGAGGUAAAGGCUCACCAAGGCGAUGAUACAUAGCCGACCUGAGAGGGUGAUCGGCCACAUUGGGACUGAGACACGGCCCAAACUCCUACGGGAGGCAGCAGUAGGGAAUCUUCGGCAAUAGACGAAAGUCUGACCGAGCAACGCCGCGUGAGCGAAGAAGGUUUUCGGAUCGUAAAACUCUGUUGGUAGAGAAGAACGUUGGUGAGAGUGGAAAGCUCAUCAAGUGACGGUAACUACCCAGAAAGGGACGGCUAACUACGUG